CCACGGUGUAGGACGUCGCCUUGCCCGCGGUGCGGCCCUCGUUCACCGCGGCGGCCCACUUGGUCCCCUGCAGGCUGGCGUCGAGCCGCGCGGCCUGCUCGCCGACGUCGGCGUCCGACACGAAGCCCCCGAACCGGCGCACGGCGGCGUACCUGGCCCCGGCCCACCGGUGCACGCGCAGGCCCUCGGCCGGCGGCGGGUCCGCCUGGUUCUUGGCCGGCACGUAGAAGCUGACGACGAAGGAGGAGGCGCAGAAGGGCCCGUCGCUGGGCAGCACCAGCGUCAGCACCGGCGCCGUCAUCUCGAUCGUCUCGUUGUACGCGUUCUUGCCCUGGAUGUAGUUGAACAGCCUGCACGCGUCCAGUGUGUGUGUGUGUGUAUUCAGUCCAGUGAGCGGACUACGGCCUAGUAACUCUGCACGAGCCCAUUGUCUAAGGCCCAUACGGUUCACCUCGGAGGCCCAUGUGAAGCCCAGGAAUAAAGCGUGGUAAGCGAGAGAGCUGAGAAGUGACGAGGCGAGAGCUUACUGGAGGAAGCCAGCGCGCGUGGCGGCGACGAAGGAGAUGUCCUCGAUGGGCGAGGUGGAGACCCACAUGGCGU
rnacentral:lncRNA from 1 species